rnacentral:rRNA from 1 species
GAACGCUAUCGGUAUGCUUAACACAUGCAAGUCGAACGGACUAAUUGGAGCUUGCUCCAAUUAGUUAGUGGCAGACGGGUGAGUAACACGUGGGAAUCUACCCAUCAGUACGGAAUAACUUUUAGAAAUAAAAGCUAAUACCGCAUAUUCUCUACGGAGGAAAGAUUUAUCGCUGAUGGAUGAGCCCGCGUCAGAUUAGGUAGUUGGUGAGGUAAUGGCUCACCAAGCCGACGAUCUGUAGCUGGUCUGAGAGGAUGAUCAGCCACACUGGGACUGAGACACGGCC